UCAGCACAGUUGUCUGUUAGUCAUUUGCCAUCAUGGGCUAAUGACUUACUGUUCAAUAUUGUUUGAUUUUGUGUGGUAUUUUAUUAUUUAUUGUUCUUUGGUUGUUACUUAUUAACCAGGAAUAUAGUUAUAAUCUGAGGAAGCCUGGUUUAUUUGUUUUUCCUUGAUAUGUUUUCUGAAGACUGAUGACUUGAAUGCUGCUUUUGCUUAGGAGAAAUAAAAUUCUAUGUACCAUUGCCAUAUUCCUUGUCCUGCUUUAUUCUUGACCACAACCAUCACAUAGUUCUAAGGGAUGCAUAUGGAUUGCAUGUGUGGAGUUUGGCCAAGUUUUUGCAUACAUGCAAGGAACUGGGGGCCGUUUACACACCAACGUUUUCAACUAAAUACUGAAAACUUUUAUGCAUUUUGGCUGUUUGUUUACACGACAACGGCGUUUUGGGGCCUGAAAACGCAAACUUUUGAAAACGGGUUUCAAAUUGCAAGUUUGUGAAAAUGAUGAUGUCAUGCGCACACGUAUUACAUGUUAUUUAAAGAAUGAUGGAUUGAUAGGCAUCAAUUUGAGAUGUAUAAUUAUCAAUAUGAAUACUGGUGCCUGUGCAAAUAACAAUAAUCAACAAUUUAUUAAUCUGGAGUGUUUUGUAUGGACUGUGAACAUUGUAAAGUAGGCAGAACCUGCAAUUUGAAAAUCUUGAAAUUAAUGUAUGGAUUCA